rnacentral:rRNA from 1 species
AGAGUUUGAUUCUGGCUCAGGAUGAAUGCUGGCGGCAUGCCUAAUACAUGCAAGUCGAGCGGUAACAGGACUAGCUUGCUAGUUGCUGACGAGCGGCGGACGGCUGAGUAACGCGUGGGAACGGACCCCAAACUGAGGGAUAACGCACCGAAAGGUGUGCUAAUACCGCAUGUGAUCUUCGGAUUAAAGCUUUCGAGCGGUUUGGGACUGGCCUGCGUACGAUUAGAUAGUUGGUGAGGUAAUGGCUCACCAAGUCGACGAUCGUUAGAUGGUUUGAGAGGAUGAUCAUCCAGACUGGGACUGAGACACGGCCCAGACUCCUACGGGAGGCAGCAGUAGGGAAUCUUUCACAAUGGGCGAAAGCCUGAAUGGAGCAAUGCCGCGUGCAGGACGAAGGCCUUCGGGUUGUAAACUGCUUUUAUAAGCGAGGAAUAUGACGGUAACUUAUGAAUAAGGAUCGGCUAACUACGUGCCAGCCGCCGC